rnacentral:rRNA from 1 species
UGGCGCACGGGUGAGUAUCGCGUGGGAACCUGCCUUUCUCUGCGGGACAACGGUUGGAAACGACCGCUAAUACCGCAUACGCCCUACGGGGGAAAGGUCCGCCGGAGAUUGAGGGGCCCGCGUUUGAUUAGCUUGUUGGUGGGGUAAUGGCCUACCAAGGCGACGAUCAAUAGCUGGUCUGAGAGGAUGAUCAGCCACACUGGGACUGAGACACGGCCCAGACUCCUACGGGAGGCAGCAGUGGGGAAUAUUGGACAAUGGGGGCAACCCUGAUCCAGCAAUGCCGCGUGUGUGAUGAAGGCCUUAAGGUUGUAAAGCACUUUCACUGGCGAAGAUGAUGACGGUAACCAGAGAAGAAGCCCCGGCUAACUUCGUGCCAGCAGCCGCGGUAAU